rnacentral:rRNA from 1 species
UUGAGGGGGGCUGCUCCUAGUACGAGAGGACCGGAGUGGACGCAUCACUGGUGUUCGGGUUGUCAUGCCAAUGGCACUGCCCGGUAGCUAAAUGCGGAAAAGAUAAGUGCUGAAAGCAUCUAAGCACGAAACUUGCCCCGAGAUGAGUUCUCCCUGAGACUUUAAGUCUCCUGAAGGAACGUUGAAGACGACGACGUUGAUAGGUCGGGUGUGUAAGCGCAGCGAUGCGUUGAGCUAACCGAUACUAAUGAACCGUGAGGCUUAACCUU